rnacentral:rRNA from 1 species
GGCGAACGGGUGAGUAACACGUGAGUAACCUGCCCCGGACUUUGGGAUAACGACUCGAAAGGGUUGCUAAUACCGGAUAUUGAAUUGCUGCCGCAUGGUGGUGGUUUGAAAGAUUUUUUGGUUCGGGAUGGGCUCGCGGCCUAUCAGCUUGUUGGUGGGGUGAUGGCCUACCAAGGCGUCGACGGGUAGCCGGCCUGAGAGGGCGACCGGCCACACUGGGACUGAGAUACGGCCCAGACUCCUACGGGAGGCAGCAGUGGGGAAUAUUGCACAAUGGGCGGAAGCCUGAUGCAGCAACGCCGCGUGCGGGAUGAAGGCCUUCGGGUUGUAAACCGCUUUCAGCUAUGACGAAUGUGACGGUAGUAGUAGAAGAAGCACCGGCUAACUACGUGCCAGCAGCCGCGGUGAUACGUAGGGUGCGAGCGUUGUCCGGAUUUAUUGGGCGUAAAGAGCUCGUAGGUGGUUGUUUGCGUCGGAAGUGAAAACCUAGCGCUUAACGGUGGGCUUGCUUUCGAUACGGGAUGACUUGAGGGAGGUAGGGGAGAACGGAAUUCCUGGUGGAGCGGUGGAAUGCGCAGAUAUCAGGAGGAACACCGGUGGCGAAGGCGGUUCUCUGGACCUUUCCUGACGCUGAGGAGCGAAAGCGUGGGGAGCAAACAGGCUUAGAUACCCUGGUAGUCCACGCUGUAAACGGUGGGCACUAGGUGUGGGGGACAUUCCACGUUCUCCGUGCCGUAGCUAACGCAUUAAGUGCCCCGCCUGGGGAGUACGGCCGCAAGGCUAAAACUCAAAGGAAUUGA